GACGAACGCUGGCGGCGUGCUUAACACAUGCAAGUCGAGCGGUAAGGCCCUUUCGGGGGUACACGAGCGGCGAACGGGUGAGUAACACGUGGGUGACCUGCCCUCAGCUCUGGGGAUAAGCCUGGGAAACCGGGUCUAAUACCGGAUAUGACUCCAUGACGCAUGUUGUGGGGUGGAAAGCCUUGUGCGGCUGAGGAUGGGCCCGCGGCCUAUCAGCUUGUUGGUGGGGUGAUGGCCUACCAAGGCGACGACGGGUAGCCGGCCUGAGAGGGCGACCGGCCACACUGGGACUGAGACACGGCCCAGACUCCUACGGGAGGCAGCAGUGGGGAAUCUUGCGCAAUGGGCGAAAGCCUGACGCAGCGACGCCGCGUGAGGA
rnacentral:rRNA from 1 species